UCCCAAGCCUUCUGGCGAUCUCUUAUAAAGAAAGCCCUCCAUAAUAGAUUGAAAAGGGUCCUUUGGGGAAAAGUUUUCCCUUUGAUAAGAUGAAGCCGGGGAAGGUUUUCCGGUUUAUCCCGGAGGGCUUGUAGCUCAGUUGGUUAGAGCGCGCGCUUGAUAAGCGUGAGGUCGGAGGUUCAAGUCCUCCCAGGCCCACCAAUCAUUCUAUCAAUCUAUAAGCGCUUGUGGAAAUUGCUCAUAGAAAACUUUCUUUAUUCAUUUAUGAAAAAUCUCCUUAUAGAGAUAGAGAGAGACGCUUUUCCCUUUGGGUUUGAAAACUCAAGAUUACAGGUGUUAAAGUGGCUUUAAAGGAAAAGUGACAAAGAAUAAGGAAUAACGAUUUAAGUUAUCCCUUUUUGGUGAUCUUGAUUUGGGUGUUUUGAAUGCGUUAUGUUUUUUAGGGGGGCCGUAGCUCAGCUGGGAGAGCACCUGCUUUGCAAGCAGGGGGCCGUCGGUUCA
rnacentral:misc_RNA from 1 species